GAUGAAGAACGUAGCGAAAUGCGAUACGUAAUGUGAAUUGCAGAAUUCAGUGAAUCAUCGAGUCUUUGAACGCACAUUGCGCCCCCUGGUAUUCCGGGGGGCAUGCCUGUCCGAGCGUCAUUGCUGCCCUCAAGCACGGCUUGUGUGUUGGGCCUCCGUCCUCCUCCCGGGGGGCGGGCCCGAAAGGCAGCGGCGGCACCGCGUCCGGUCCUCGAGCGUAUGGGGCUUCGUCACCCGCUCUUGUAGGCCCGGCCGGCGCUUGCCGACACAUCAAUCUUUUUUCCAGGUUGACCUCGGAUCAGGUAGGGAUACCCGCUGAACUUAAGCAUAUCAAUAAGCGGAGGA
rnacentral:misc_RNA from 1 species